GAGGAAUAUUGGUCAAUGGACGAGAGUCUGAACCAGCCAAGUAGCGUGAAGGAUGACUGCCCUAUGGGUUGUAAACUUCUUUUAUACGGGAAUAAAGUGAGGCACGUGUGCCUUUUUGUAUGUACCGUAUGAAUAAGGAUCGGCUAACUCCGUGCCAGCAGCCGCGGUAAUACGGAGGAUCCGAGCGUUAUCCGGAUUUAUUGGGUUUAAAGGGAGCGUAGGCGGACGCUUAAGUCAGUUGUGAAAGUUUGCGGCUCAACCGUAAAAUUGCAGUUGAUACUGGGUGUCUUGAGUACAGUAGAGGCAGGCGGAAUUCGUGGUGUAGCGGUGAAAUGCUUAGAUAUCACGAAGAACUCCGAUUGCGAAGGCAGCUUGCUGGACUGUAACUGACGCUGAUGCUCGAAAGUGUGGGUAUCAAACAGGAUUAGAUACCCUGGUAGUCCACACAGUAAACGAUGAAUACUCGCUGUUUGCGAUAUACAGUAAGCGGCCAAGCGAAAGCGUUAAGUAUUCCACCUGGGGAGUACGCCGGCAACGGUGAAACUCAAAGGAAUUGACGGGGGCCCGCACAAGCGGAGGAACAUGUGAUUUAAUUCGAUGAUACGCGAGGAACCUUACCCGGGCUUGAAUUGCAACUGAAUGAUGUGGAGACAUGUCAGCCGCAAGGCAGUUGUGAAGGUGCUGCAUGGUUGUCGUCAGCUCGUGCCGUGAGGUGUCGGCUUAAGUGCCAUAACGAGCGCAACCCUUAUCGAUAGUUACCAUCAGGUUAUGCUGGGGACUCUGUCGAGACUGCCGUCGUAAGAUGUGAGGAAGGUGGGGAUGACGUCAAAUCAGCACGGCCCUUACGUCCGGGGCUACACACGUGUUACAAUGGGGGGUACAGAAGGCAGCUACACGGCGACGUGAUGCUAAUCCCGAAAGCCUCUCUCAGUUCGGAUUGGAGUCUGCAACCCGACUCCAUGAAGCUGGAUUCGCUAGUAAUCGCGCAUCAGCCACGGCGCGGUGAAUACGUUCCCG
rnacentral:rRNA from 1 species